AUGUGGUUCCAAUUCCACGAUCAUUUGAUAUUUGGAUGAUUUGCAACAUGUCAAUCUUCCAUCAAUUGCAAGUUGCUGCUGCUUUUAGAUUUUUCUUGUGGAGAAGCAGUUCUUGCUUGAUCUCUUGAAAUGAUUUAGUAGGGAUUUUGCUUCUAGGUAAGUCUAUAAUCCUUGAACAUUUUAGUUUGAUGUGCAAGUCAAAGAUAUUUAAUAGGUUGGCUGGCUGAAUUAAUAAUCAUUUUUCAUCUACAUUGUUCAUUGCAUACUGUUUUCAAAUUUCGUCAUUCCUAUCUUUUUUAUUGUCGGACACCUGCAGCUGAAGGAAAUAAAAUUCAUUAUUGGUAGACUAGAACCAUGAUGGUACUACACAAUAUAAAGUUGCAGAAUAUAGAUCGCUUUAUGUCCUGGAGCUGCAAUCGUCCCUGGUCUGGCAAUGGCGGCGACGCUGCCCUGCUGGGCGAGGCCUAGUGUCGUUGUGUGUCUGUAGUUGAGGGCACCUCCUCACCUAGUUGUAGUCGCUUGGUGAGGACGGUCGUGUAUGUGUGCGCGCGCGUGUGUGUGUUCCUCCUUUCUGGAGGUUGUACCCCUGAUGUCUUCCUG
rnacentral:rRNA from 1 species